rnacentral:rRNA from 1 species
GACGAACGCUGGCGGCGUGCUUAACACAUGCAAGUCGAACGAAGUGGCGAACGGGUGAGUCACGCGUAAUCAACCUGCCCUUCAGAGGGGGAUAACAGUUGGAAACGACUGCUAAUACCGCAUACUGAAGGAGGGGAUUGAGUCUGAUUAGCUAUGUGGAGGGGUAACGGCCCACCAAGGCGAUGCUCAGUAGCCGGUCUGAGAGGAUGAACGGCCAAAUUGGGACUUGGGCACGGCCCAGACUCCUACGGGAGGCAGCAGUGGGGAAUCUGCCGCAAUGGGCGAAAGUCUGACGGAGCAACUCCGCGGGAGUGAUGAAGGCCUUCGGGUUGUAAAGCUAUGUUAAUCGGGACGCGGUACCGGAAUAGAAAGCCACGGCUAACUACGUGCCAGCAGCCGCGGUAAUUC